CACGUAGGGGGCGAGCGUUGUCCGGAUUUAUUGGGCGUAAAGAGCUCGUAGGCGGUUUCGUAAGUCGGGUGUGAAAACCCCAGGCUCAACCUGGGGACGCCACCCGAGACUGCGAUGACUAGAGUCCGGUAGGGGAGCGUGGAAUUCCUGGUGUAGCGGUGAAAUGCGCAGAUAUCAGGAGGAAGACCGGUGGCGAAGGCGGAUCUCUGGGCCUUGCCCGACGCUGAGGCGCGAAAGCUAGGGGAGCGAACAGG
rnacentral:rRNA from 1 species